CAACUUGUAAUAUUUGCAGAUGGUGACAUUCAGAUGAAUUCAAUCUUGGAAUAAAUCAGUCUUCUGAAAACUGAGUGAGUGUUGUCCAACGAUGUCUGCAGAUAUACAAAUGAGGAGAGCAAAACUGCAGACCAUAAAUCCGAUCAUGCAACAAGUCUGAUGUUUCCAGCCUGCGUAUCCUUGCGGUCGAUUGGCCGGCUGCCUGGGACAAGCUUUGCGAAGGCUCCAGAUCAUCCAUAUGAGGAGUUUCAGUGUUGAAUUGAGCCGAUCCACAAAGGGGACUCUAAUGAAAACAGCUCCCAGUUUUCCCAGAGUCCACUCCUCCGUCAGAAGGAGGCCUGAGGAUCGCCGUCCUGUCUCCACAUGUCGCUGCCAUGAGAAAGAGGGGAUCAGACAGAGGACAUGAAGAGGGUCUGCAAAGGAGAUACCAUCCUCUCUGACAGAGACAUGAGAAAUCAAAAAGUCUGCAAAAACUGGAAACCAGUGAAGUCCAGGCAGCAGGAGAUGCUGAUUGGUCUGAAGUUGAACAGCUGGAGGCUCUGAUGAGAGGGAACUGAGGAAGAAACUCAGUUACACCACAGCGCCGUCUAGAGGACAGAAGAUGUUCUGCACACAGCCUGGAGGGACUGUCGGAGGUGAAACACACUGUAUGAUCUUAUCUUUAGUCACAAAUCAUGUAGCAGACGGUGCAAUAUCUUAGGCAUGUUGUAUAAUAAAGACAGCCUAUACAAAUCUUAGAGUAAUGUACAAUAGGAAUUUGUGUAUAAUAAACAACUUGUCAAGGCUAAUGCUAAAUAUAUUGUAUUAUAGUCAAAGGAAUUCAUAUGGAAAAACUAGUGAAAAUAAAGACAUGUUUUUUUUCAGAUUUCAA